rnacentral:SRP_RNA from 1 species
UCUGGGCAUGGUGGUGCAUCCCUUUAGUUCUUGCUGCUGGGGAGACAGGCUGGUGGACCUCUUGAGUUCAGAAGUUCUAAGCUAUAGUAGGGCUAAAGGUAAUCAGGCGCCUGCAGUGUGGUCACCAAUAUAGUGAACCUCCAGGAGCAGGGGGGCUACCAGGCUGCCUAAGGAGGGAGAGAAACGGCCCAGGUUAGAAAAAUGGAGCCGGUUAAAGCUUCUGUGUUGACCAGCAUUUGCAUGGAGCCUAAGAAUGGCUGCUGCAUUUCUAGCGUGAGUAAGAUUGGGAGACCCAAUCUCA